rnacentral:misc_RNA from 2 species
AAGGAAAUUUUUUAAAAUCAUCAUCUUCAGUUUUGAAAGACUUAAGUUAAUUUAAAAAAAUAAGUUUUUCGUUUUUUUCAUUAGUUAAUUCUUUUAAUAUAAUAUUCUUUAAGAUUUUAAGGGCCUAUAGCUCAGUUGGUUAGAGCACACGCCUGAUAAGCGUGAGGUCGGUGGUUCAAGUCCAUUUAGGCCCACCAGUCUAAAUGUACUGAAAAUCAAAAAAGUUCUUUGAAAAGUAGAUAAACAACGUAAAUUCUCAAAAUA